GAACACAGCAGCCAUCAGACAGCAUAGGGUGCAGAUGGAGAGAAUAGCAGGAAAGCAGCUUCAAGCAAUCAGCAAGUGGACAAGGCAGCAGGAGACAGAACUACUUACUGAACUAACAGAAGUGAAUGGCACCUGCUGGAAUUCUGCAUACUUUACCCUCUGCCUGGGAUCUGCUGCAAGGUCUUAUAUCAACCUCAACCCUGCUAUUCUUUGAGAAACUAAGGGUCCAUCAGGUCCAGGAUUCUCUGUCGGUGAAUAGGCAUCACUUCAACAAAAGGUACAAAUCACGAAGCACUGAAAAUCGCCUCCUCUGACAAAAAGCUCAUCAACAAUAGCCUUAGCAGCAGAAUCUGAGGCCCACACCAUCCUGAUAAAAAGAAGCAGUUGCAGGGAGAGUGAAUAAAGAAAUCUCAAUCUGAAAAAAUCAUCAAAGCAGGUGUGCAGACAAAGAUGCUCAGGAACAGGGGCUGGCAAACUAUGGUCUGGCCCACCAAGAGGUCUGAUCUCGUAUGGAGGGAUCAGUGCACCAUGCUUCUUUGGAACCUGCUUUGCAACAUCUGA